rnacentral:rRNA from 1 species
AUUGAACGCUGGCGGCAUGCCUUACACAUGCAAGUCGAACGGUAACGCGGGGCAACCUGGCGACGAGUGGCGAACGGGUGAGUAAUGUAUCGGAACGUGCCCAGUUGUGGGGGAUAACUGCUCGAAAGAGCAGCUAAUACCGCAUACGACCUGAGGGUGAAAGCGGGGGAUCGCAAGACCUCGCGCAAUUGGAGCGGCCGAUAUCAGAUUAGGUAGUUGGUGGGGUAAAGGCUCACCAAGCCAACGAUCUGUAGCUGGUCUGAGAGGACGACCAGCCACACUGGGACUGAGACACGGCCCAGACUCCUACGGGAGGCAGCAGUGGGGAAUUUUGGACAACGGACGCAAGUCUGAUCCAGCCAUGCCGCGUGCGGGAAGAAGGCCUUCGGGUUGUAAACCGCUUUUGUCAGGGAAGAAACGCUCUGGGUUAAUACCUCGGGGUAAUGACGGUACCUGAAGAAUAAGCACCGGCUAACUACGUGCCAGCCGCCGCGGUAAGAC